GACAGCCUUCUGAAAGGAAGAUUAAUACAAGAUGGCAUCAUGAGUCCGCAUGUUCACAUGAUUAAAGGUAUUCCGGUAGACGAUGGGGAUGCGUUCCAUUAGAUAGUAGGCGGGGUAACGGCCCACCUAGUCUUCGAUGGAUAGGGGUUCUGAGAGGAAGGUCCCCCACAUUGGAACUGAGACACGGUCCAAACUCCUACGGGAGGCAGCAGUGAGGAAUAUUGGUCAAUGGGCGAGAGCCUGAACCAGCCAAGUAGCGUGAAGGAUGACUGCCCUAUGGGUUGUAAACUUCUUUUAUAAAGGAAUAAAGUCGGGUAUGGAUACCCGUUUGCAUGUACUUUAUGAAUAAGGAUCGGCUAACUCCGUGCCAGCAGCCGCGGUAAUACGGAGGAUCCGAGCGUUAUCCGGAUUUAUUGGGUUUAAAGGGAGCGUAGAUGGAUGUUUAAGUCAGUUGUGAAAGUUUGCGGCUCAACCGUAAAAUUGCAGUUGAUACUGGAUAUCUUGAGUGCAGUUGAGGCAGGCGGAAUUCGUGGUGUAGCGGUGAAAUGCUUAGAUAUCACGAAGAACUCCGAUUGCGAAGGCAGCCUGCUAAGCUGCAACUGACAUUGAGGCUCGAAAGUGUGGGUAUCAAACAGGAUUAGAUACCCUGGUAGUCCACACGGUAAACGAUGAAUACUCGCUGUUUGCGAUAUACUGCAAGCGGCCAAGCGAAAGCGUUAAGUAUUCCACCUGGGGAGUAC
rnacentral:rRNA from 1 species